GCUCUCGGCUGAGCAUGUUGUCAGAAUGACUUCUAUUGCAUUACACCAAUAAACUAGUUUAAAAAGUUGUUAAACUUUUAGAAGGUAGCUUAGUAGCUGUUAGAGGUUAAUUUAGGGCUCUACCUCCGUCAGGCUGGAGCUAUCAGAUCCAAAAAACUGGUGGAGUGGCGGAAAGUCGUGGAGACACAACAGACAACACUCUCGAGGGGCAAAGAUGUCCCGAGAGAACCACGAUGAGAGUGUGGACCACGCCGUCCUCUUCCAGGACGUCUGUGAAGUGGAGCCCCCUGACCAGGAGUGCUGCAAACUAGUCACCAUCAACAUUUCAGGUCUGCGUUUCGAAACUCAACUCAAAACCCUCGCCAGAUAUCCGAACACGUUACUGGGAGACCCGGUUAAAAGGAUGCGGUUCUACGACCCGCUCAGGAACGAGUUCUUCUUCGACAGGAACCGACCCAGUUUUGAUGCCAUCCUGUAUUACUAUCAGUCCGGCGGGAGGCUUCGGAGACCCAUCAACGUGCCGGUUGAGAUCUUUAUGGACGAAAUCAAAUUUUACGAAAUCGGCGAUGACGUCAUCGAUCGUUUCCGAGAGGACGAGGGUUUGUUAAAAGAAGAGGAGCGUCCCGUUCCGCCCAGUGGGUUUAAGCGUCAAAUCUGGCUGCUGUUCGAGUACCCCGACAGCUCCGGUCCAGCCAGGAUGAUCGCUAUAGUAUCCGUGAUGAUCAUCCUGAUAUCCAUCGUUAUCUUCUGUUUAGAAACCUUGCCGGAAUUUAGAGAGGAUGAUCGUGUGUUCAACAACCACCUUGCGCCGAACGGAACGACUGCUGGGAAAAGAUCUAGUACGUUCACGGACCCGUUCUUCUUGUUGGAGACCAUCUGCGUCGUUUGGUUUUCCUUCGAACUGUUUGUGAGGUUUCUUGCAUGCCCGAGCAAGCCCGCCUUCUUCAAAGACAUCAUGAACAUCAUAGAUAUCGUAGCCAUUCUUCCAUAUUUCAUUACUUUGGGUUUAGAUCUCAGCGAAGUGGAGUCGAACUCACAGCAGACCACGUCUCUCGCCAUUCUGAGGGUCAUCCGCUUGGUGCGCGUCUUCAGGAUUUUCAAACUCUCACGGCACUCCAAGGGUCUCCAAAUCCUCGGGCAGACCCUACGAGCGAGUAUGCGAGAGCUUGGACUGCUGAUCUUUUUCCUUAUCAUCGGCAUUAUAUUGUUCUCCAGUGCGGUGUACUUCGCCGAGGUGGAUGACCCGGAAUCGUCUUUUACUAGUAUCCCAGACGCGUUCUGGUGGGCGGUUGUUACCAUGACCACUGUGGGGUAUGGUGACAUGUACCCAGUGACGAUAGGAGGCAAAAUUAUUGGAUCGAUGUGUGCCAUUGCAGGAGUUCUUUCAAUCGCCCUGCCUGUACCAGUAAUCGUGUCGAACUUUAAUUACUUCUAUCACCGAGAGCACAGCGAGGAGGAGCAAGUGGAAUACACGCACGUAACUUGCGCUCGCCCGUUGCCUGUCCUGUGCGACCAAAAUAAAAGCGACAGUAAACCCUCUCUAGUGAUAUCAGAGCACUCAGAUGACGACGAGUGGAAUUCAAUAAGCGUGUUAAAUUUCAAUCCAUCAGAGGAAUAUACAGGCAAACUCACAGAUGUAUAAGAGCACCAAAAGCGCGCGCAUCUGUGUGAGUAUUAGUCUUGCUGUCUAAAUACUUAGGGCUUCUUGUUCCUAGAGUUACAGAAGAGUUUGUGUGGAUGGAGCUAAUUCAGAGCUGGUGUAGAUAUGUCACAGUUUAAUUCUAAAUUAGUGCUCCAAGCUUCUACGUUGCUUGGCAACCACAAACGGCCAGUAGAUUGAAAGCAAGACGCACUUUGAGCCUUACGUCAUCUCAGAAUGUUUACUAACAUUAAAAGGCGCGCCCCAGUUUUCCAACUUAUGCACUGUUCUGUUCCAUUUUGUAGUAGGCUACGUAAAUAGUGGGAGUAGUGUGUUCAUGACGUCAAGUGCUACUUGCACUUGAUGCACCGAAUUUGAAUGUUUGACACUUAAUUUUUUUGUACCUGGGUUUAUGUAUAUAAAAUAUUGUAUGUGUGUGUGUGUGUAUUGAGAACUAAUUAAUUACAAUUAAAUAAGUAAGUUACAAUUAAAUAAGUAGCUAAGUAGGCCUAGCUGUUUCUUCUACUAAACCACAAAAUGAACAUGGCUCAUCAAUAUCAGAAUAUUCCAAAUCUAACGGAUUAGCAGGACAAAUGUUAUGCAGAAGACUUCUCCAAUUUAAAUUCACAAAAAUGAUUCCAAGAGUUUUGCCCUUGGCUGUGAUGUACAAUUUGUGCAGUCAACUGUCACAGCUUUCCUUACAUAACAGAGGGCUAUCAGACUCCAAUGUUUGGUGUUAAAAUAACCUUAUGACCCUACACAAAUCAUACACUGGAAUUCUGAGUACAAAGUGCAUGAUAUAAGUGCAUAAUAUGUAAUUUGGGACAGAACCUAAGCCUACACUUCAGCAGCUGUCAAAUUAAAAUAAUAAAUUAAAUAUUUUAUUUUCAACAGAAAUCCAUUGGAUUUUUAUUAAUGACCUAGAUAGUCAAAUAUCUUAUAGGCUUAUUGCUACAACCAUGAAUAAAGUAUAGAGAAGAGUUUUAUUUUAAUAGCAAAUUUAGGACCAACAUAUCAAUCGCCCACAUUAGGGUUCUUUACAGAGGCUACAUUACACCUGAGCCUAGCAGUAAACUCUUUUUAAAACAAAAAUGUCACAUUUAAUGAUAGCUGCAUGUCUCAUUUUCUGACAGCACAUUGAUCUUACUUCUAAUUGCAGGAAGCAGAAGCUGUAUGACGACAUUUCUUCUCUUUAAAGAAGACAGAAGUUCAUAUCACCUGCAUAAACAAGCAAAAUAACCAUUGUAGGGCUCCAGACUAACAUUUGAAGACACCAGCACCAGUGCCGUUAAGUUCUACAGAAGGUGGCACCAGCACCUGACAGUAAAUAACUCAUUCUAGUUCACACAUGUACAUUUCAGAGAUGUCUAAUUGAUGUCUGCAUUUAUAUAUGCAAGAUGUAUUAUUUUUUUGAGUGUUUUCUCAUCUGCAACAUGUCUCUAAGACGUCUCCUGUCAGAUGUCAAAUAGACAUUUAUUAGAAUGCAUGUAAAACUGCAUUUGUCAAGAUUACACAGCAGAUGUUUCCCAGAUCAUUAGCAGACGUCUCACAGAUGUACUUGCGCUGUCUGGGUAGUUGAGAUCCAGAUGAAAUGAACUUUUAUCACUGUUAUCAAAAGUUGUGUAAAGCAUUUAAUAACACUAGAAAACAUUAGACAAUAUCUGCCACAAGUUGUUCUUGUAGUUUUACUAUGUUAAAUCCAUGGUGAAUGGUGGUGAUCUGUUUAUUUAUGUUUUUCCUAGUUUCCACAUCAGUGCCAUUUGUUCUGAUAUGAAUAGCUUUAACAUAAUUCUGCGCCAAAUUUGAAUGCUCUUCAUUAGAUUUCACAGAGAAUCCUGGUCAGGAUAUGUGUAUAUAUGCAAAUUAUUCCCCCCGUUGAUUUAUUAUUGCGAUUAUAACGCUAUUAUCAAUGCUAUGUUUAUAUCGAAUGUAUCAUUUGUGUACGUAGCUUUAACACAAUUGUCCGUAAAUAUAUAAAUAGGCUAAAUAUUUGGUUCAUCGAUUAGUAGCCUAUUAAUUUACAAAUCAGCCUCUCAAAAAAUCCUCACAGGCCGCUACUGAACAUUAUAUUUUUAUUAUCUUUGUAGUAAUGAAUAGCCUAUUGUAAUAUAUUUGUAAUCUAGAAAUUAUUGACAUAUUAUUUAUAAAAUGCUAAGCUUUAUUUAAGCUUUCAUGUCUUUGCCUUGUGAGAUAGCCUAUUGUUCUUUAAAAUAUCUCAAUCUCUGCCUUGUGUAAUCUGUGUGCUUUAAACAUGCAAGAGAUGUUCUUUGCAUAUUUUGACUUUUCUCAGGAUAAAAUGUAAUUGUAUGGUCUGACACUGUAUACCUGUUACCUUAACAUCUUGGCCAGUUACCCUGCCCACAUGACAGCUGCAGACCAAGUGGACAAGCUAUUUUUGUUACAUGUUAAUGAGGUAUCAAUUGUUAACUUAUUUUUGAUAAAUAAAUAUUUUGUCACAUUCAUAAUCAAA